UACAGAGGGUGCAAUCGUUGUUCGGAAUUAUUGGGCGUAAAGGGCGCGUAGGCGGUUCGGCAAGUCUCUAGUGAAAUCUCAGGGCUCAACUCUGAGUCUGCUGGGGAAACUGCCGGGCUUGAGUGUGGGAGAGGAGAGUGGAAUUCCCGGUGUAGCGGUGAAAUGCGUAGAUAUCAGGAGGAACACCAACGGCGAAGGCAGCUCGCUGGGACGGUACUGACGCUGAGGCGCGAAAGCGUGGGGAGCAAACAGG
rnacentral:rRNA from 1 species